GUUUGAUCCUGGCUCAGGAUGAACGCUAGCAGCGUGCCUGAGAUAUGCAAGUCGAGCGAUCAUAGGUCCGCAAGGAUCUAUGAAGCGGCGGACGGCUGAGUAACACGUAGGAACUUGCCCCCAAGUAGAGGAUAGCUCACCGAGAGGUGGGGUAAUACUUUAUAGUCUGUACCUAGUACAGUAAAGGACGUAACUGUUCGCUUAGGGAUGGUCCUGCGGCCUAUCAGGUAGUUGGUGAGGUAAUGGCUCACCAAGCCUAUGACGGGUAGCUGGCCUCAUGAGGGUGGUCAGCCAGAGGGGGACUGAGACACGGCCCCCACUCCUACGGGAGGCAGCAAUCAGGAAUAGUCGGCAAUGGACGAAAGUCUGACCGCGCGACGCUGCGUGUAGGAUGAAGCUUCAAAAGAGUGUAAACUACUGUGGUAGGGGAAGAAUGUUCCGCAAGGAACUUGACGGUACCCUACUAGAAAGUGGCCGCUAACUGCGUGCCAGAAGCGUCGGUAAUACGUGGGCCACAAGCGUUAUCCGGUGUCACUGGGCGUAAAGAGUCGUGUAGGUGGUGAAUUAAGUUAUUUCUUAAAUUUUCUCGCUCAACGAGGAGUCUGGAUAUAAUACUAGUUUGCUAGAAUUUCCUUUAGGGUAAUUGGAACUGAGAGAGGAGUAGUGAAAUGCGUUGAUACUCUCGGGAACACCAGUGGCGUAGGCGAAUUACUGGAAGGAAAUUGACACUGAGACACGAAAGCUAGGGGAGCGAAGCAGAUUAGAGACCUGCGUAGUCCUAGCCGUAAACGCAUGCUUGCUAGCUGCAUGUUUCGAUUUAUCGAAACGUGUGGCGAAGGUAACCCGUUAAGCAAGCCGCCUGGGGAGUACUGCCGCAAGGUUAAAAUCAAAGGAAUUGACG
rnacentral:rRNA from 1 species